rnacentral:rRNA from 1 species
GACCGGCGGAGUAACACGUGACUAACCUACCUUCGAGUGGGGGAUAACCUAGGGAAACCUGGGCUAAUACCGCAUAACAUCUUUGGAGUGGGAAUUCUGAAGAUCAAAGGAGCAAUUCGCUGGAAGAGGGGGUCGCGGCUGAUUAGCUAGUUGGCGGGGUAAUGGCCCACCAAGGCUUUGAUCGGUAGCCGGCCUGAGAGGGCGCACGGCCACACUGGAACUGAAACACGGUCCAG